rnacentral:rRNA from 1 species
UACGUAGGGUGCGAGCGUUGUCCGGAAUUAUUGGGCGUAAAGGGCUCGUAGGCGGUUUGUCGCGUCGGGAGUGAAAACCUCGGGCUUAACUCGGGGCUUGCUUUCGAUACGGGCAGACUGGAGGUAUGCAGGGGAGAACGGAAUUCCUGGUGUAGCGGUGAAAUGCGCAGAUAUCAGGAGGAACACCGGUGGCGAAGGCGGUUCUCUGGGCAUGGCCUGACGCUGAGGAGCGAAAGCGUGGGGAGCAAACAGG